GUAAGUUCCGACCUGCACGAAUGGAGUAAUGAUGGCCACACUGUCUCCUCCAGAGACUCAGCGAAGUUGAAAUGUUUGUGAUGAUGCAAUCUCCCCGCGGAAAGACGGAAAGACCCCAUGAACCUUUACUGUAGCUUUACAUUGGACUUUGAACAGAUCUGUGUAGGAUAGGUGGGAGGCUUUGAAGUAAGGUCGCUAGAUCUUAUGGAGCCGACGUUGAAAUACCACCCUGGUGUGUUUGAGGUUCUAACCUUGGCCCGUGAUCCGGGUUGGGGACAGUGUAUGGUGGGCAGUUUGACUGGGGCGGU
rnacentral:rRNA from 1 species